rnacentral:tRNA from 6 species
GAGAUCUUAGUUUAAUGGUAAAACAUGAGCCUUUUAAUCUCUGUUUCCGGGUUCGAUCCCCGGAGAUCUUA